rnacentral:rRNA from 1 species
UACGUAGGGUGCAAGCGUUGUCCGGAAUUAUUGGGCGUAAAGAGCUCGUAGGCGGUUCGUCGCGUCGGGAGUGAAAACCCAGGGCUUAACCCUGGGCUGGCUUCCGAUACGGGCAGACUAGAGGUAUGCAGGGGAGAACGGAAUUCCUGGUGUAGUGGUGAAAUGCGCAGAUAUCAGGAGGAACACCUAUGGCGAAGGCAGCUCGCUGGGACGGUACUGACGCUGAGACGCGAAAGCGUGGGGAGCGAACAGG